rnacentral:tRNA from 1 species
GCAGCCAUGGCGGAAUUGGCAGACGCGCCGGAUUUAGGUUCCGGUGGGUGACCGUGGGGGUUCGAGUCCCCCUGGCUGCA